UAUAUGGCAGAUAGCUCUCUGCAUCUCUCAUCGCCCACUGAAGUUAAGCAGGGCUGCACCUGGUCAGUACCUGGAUGGGAGACCACAUGGGAAAGCUAUGGUUGCUACCGGA
rfam:Danio rerio chromosome 18, GRCz11 reference primary assembly.